CUCUGUCGGGUCUGAGGUAUGUCACAUGACCAAGUUAGUGUUUUACAAUUGGCUGUCUGCCUGCCUUAUCGACACUCGCUGACCAACACAACAGCACACACCCGUUUGGGAGGUUUUGGUUUCUGACGUGUUAACUGGCUGUCUGGCCCACUUGAACGUUGUGUGUUGUGCGUCUGUGUGAAUGAACUCCCGAUGAAUGUAUAUGUGUGUCCCACUUUUAUUUUAUUUUAUUUCUUUGAACGAGCACUUGUGCACUUUAUCUGAAUUAUUGUAUUUAUCUUCUUUUUUGCUAUUCAUGAUCUGUUGCGAUAAAAAGAGUUUGGCUCCAAAACAUAAAAAAAUCUAUUCAUUGUCUUAUUUGUCAUUCAGUAUUUUUAACUUCAAUGACAUUUAAGGUGUUUUUAAUCAAUUUUGUGAUGAAAAUACUGUAGUUUUUUAGUUUCUUUUUUUUUAAUAUUCUGUAAUUUAUGUUGUUCUAAUCAUUCAUACAAGUCAUUGUGACUUUUGGAGCCAAACACUUUAAAUACUGAUGCCGAUAAGCUUUUCUUAAUCAUAGCUUGACUUGUUUCUUAGCUUUGUAUCACCUCUGUGCUUCUGUUUUCUUAAAAAAGAAAAAAAAGAAAAAAAAAAGGUUUCCCCACCAGGUUUUUCCUUGAACCUGUGAGGAAUCAACCCGGGAGCCUUUUCAUCUCAGAGUAGCUUUAUGGAUUUAGCUGCUUAUGUGAUUUGGCAGUGCUUUGUUUGGUCUACACUUAUCACUAGUUUCUGCCUGCCUGCCUGUAAGAAACCACAUGAAUGUACCACGGAUGGAAACCCCAACUUCCUGAAAGAGUCUGAAUGAGUGUUAAAGGAUGGAUAUAGGUGGUCCUGAUCUUAUUUGAAAAGGUUAGCAUUUAUAGAUAGCAAUAUUUAAGUGUUAUUAUACUGUUUGUGUAUUUCCUGUCACUGUUAAAAGCCCCGAAAUUGUGUGGGGAUCGACACGCAGGACUGUGAAAGACAACUUGUGGACCUUUGGGGACAAAAUAAAUAAACACAAACUGAUGUUGCA
ensembl:lncRNA